GUGCUCACUUUGGCAACACACAUACUAAAAGUGGAACAAUACAGAGAUGAUUAGCAUGGCCCCUGCACAAGGAUGACACGCAAAUUUGUGAAGCAUUCCAUAUAUUU